rnacentral:lncRNA from 1 species
AUGGAAUUCUUGUUUAUAGUACUCGUACGAAUGGUUCAUAGACCUAAUGCAAGACUGUCCAUUCAUAGACCUAAUGCAAGACUGUCCAUGGGUGGUAAAAAGGGGAAGAGUGGUUUCUUUCAUUGUGAGAUCAUGGCAAUUGCUUUUCCACCCAUCAACUUUACCUCCACUUGUAUGUACCUCGGAUCAAACUUGUCUUGAGCUAAUCCGCAAAAAUCUCCUAUAUCAGAAGAACUUGCAAAGCUAAAGAUCAAUCAUAUCAGCUGAACCUGUUCUUGAAAGACACCAGUUGGUGAAUUAUAUUAUUGUAAGCAUAUGUCAAAUCUCUUAAAAAAUAGUGCGCUAAAUAAUUUUGUUAAUUUUAUAAAUAAAUAAAGUUAACUAAUUUAAAAAGCUUAAGUAAUUAUAUUUUAAAAUUUUAAAAAGAUUAAAA